GGCAGCCCGGCUUAUACUUGUUCUCAGUGCGGAAGAGUCAGGGUCUGUCUUCUCUGUGAAAAGCCGGCUGCCAUUCAGGCUCAAGGAAUAUCUCGCCUGCCAGCACUGUAGCUCUUUCUUUGCUCAACCCCUUCUUACAUGGGCGCAGCGUUGUUAUGAGUAAUACCCUCGCCAGGCCUGGUGUGCUUGAUGUUAAAAGGAUGAAUCAGACUUAAGAUUCAGCACCUGUCAUCAGCGAGUUGCAUCCGAUCUAGCAGAUUAGAUAUUAAUAGAUAUUAGAUAUUAAUAUUAAUAGAGAUAUUAGAUAUUAAUAUUAAUAGUGCAAGUUUGUGCACCUGCCCUGUGCCGGACGUUUUGCGACCAGUACCACUUUCAGUAAUUUGGCUUCAAAUCCCACGAAGAAAGUAACAGCAUUAGAAAGGCCUGCCUUGUGACUGAGGUGGAAGAGUCAGUAUGUCAGGUUGUGCAAGGGCACAUGUUUGUGUGGGAAGAGCAGAGACAUUAGUGACUCUCAUCCUGGACCACAGUCCGACUGAAGAAGAAACUGGUUCCCUUGUGGAAGAGAUAAAACAAGAAUUUCUUCAAGACCACAAGCCCCACCUACCCCCAGGAAAACAGCUAAAGGGAGGAAGAGAUCAACGGUGUGUCUUUUAGUCCCCCCUGACAAAAGGCAUUUGGAUUCUGCAUUAGCAAGCUGAGAAUUAACAGUACUGGCAAUGAAGUUCUGAGUCGGUCUUUGACUGAGAGUGACAGACCCAGUUUUCCAUGUCUAGUGUACCCUUAUAUGAUCCCUCAAAGCCCUUGGCAACACGCAUGGCACUGUAUCAGAUGCAAGGGACCAAUACUGCAGAGAAUGAACUGGACAAGAGAACUACCUCAAGUACAGGUGGGUCUAGAAUGUUCCUAACAGCUCCCAUGAUGCUUCUGUAGAGAGUGGCUUCACCUGAAAACAACAUGACACUAAUAAGCACCAGGCAUGCCAUUGCUCACAGCAGGGCAUGGCGGGUAUGGGGAAACGGGAUGGCACAGGAGUCCCCAGACAGUAAGCAUCCCGAAACUGUUGGCUCUCAUUUCCAGAACAAACCCAUUGUU